rnacentral:rRNA from 1 species
UACGGGGGGGGGCAAGCGUUGUUCGGAAUUACUGGGCGUAAAGCGCACGUAGGCGGGUUGUUAAGUCAGGGGUGAAAUCCUGGAGCUCAACUCCAGAACUGCCUUUGAUACUGGCAACCUAGAGACUGGAAGAGGUUAGUGGAAUUCCCAGUGUAGAGGUGAAAUUCGUAGAUAUUCGGAAGAACACCAGUGGCGAAGGCGGCUCACUGGUCCGGUACUGAUGCUGAUGUGCGAAAGCGUGGGGAGCAAACAGG